rnacentral:rRNA from 1 species
GACGAACGCUGGCGGCGUGCUUAACACAUGCAAGUCGAACGGAAAGGCCCUGCUUGCAGGGUACUCGAGUGGCGAACGGGUGAGUAACACGUGGGUGAUCUGCCCUGCACUUCGGGAUAAGCCUGGGAAACUGGGUCUAAUACCGGAUAGGAGCCAUUUUUAGUGUGAUGGUUGGAAAGUUUUUUCGGUGUAGGAUGAGCUCGCGGCCUAUCAGCUUGUUGGUGGGGUAAUGGCCUACCAAGGCGGCGACGGGUAGCCGGCCUGAGAGGGUGGACGGCCACAUUGGGACUGAGAUACGGCCCAGACUCCUACGGGAGGCAGCAGUGGGGAAUAUUGUACAAUGGGCGCAAGCCUGAUGCAGCGACGCCGCGUGGGGGAUGACGGCCUUCGGGUUGUAAACUCCUUUCGCUAGGGACGAAGCUUUUUGUGACGGUACCUAGAGAAGAAGCACCGGCUAACUACGUG